rnacentral:rRNA from 1 species
AUUGAACGCUGGCGGCAUGCCUAACACAUGCAAGUCGAACGGUAGCACAGAGAGCUUGCUCUCUGGGUGGCGAGUGGCGGACGGGUGAGGAAUACAUCGGAAUCUACUCUGUCGUGGGGGAUAACGUAGGGAAACAUACGCUAAUACCGCAUACGACCUACGGGUGAAAGCAGGGGACCUUCGGGCCUUGCGCGAUUGAAUGAGCCGAUGUCGGAUUAGCUAGUUGGCGGGGUAAAGGCCCACCAAGGCGACGAUCCGUAGCUGGUCUGAGAGGAUGAUCAGCCACACUGGAACUGAGACACGGUCCAGACUCCUACGGGAGGCAGCAGUGGGGAAUAUUGGACAAUGGGCGCAAGCCUGAUCCAGCCAUACCGCGUGGGUGAAGAAGGCCUUCGGGUUGUAAAGCCCUUUUGUUGGGAAAGAAAUCCAGCUGGCUAAUACCCGGUUGGGAUGACGGUACCCAAAGAAUAAGCACCGGCUAACUUCGUGCCAGCCGCCGCGGUAA